GUAGCGUCUGCGAGGAUCCUCGAGAGCAACUGGGAACCUAAUUCUGACCAACAAGGAGGAAUUGCUUGUCUAAUUGGAAGUGACAGAAACCUUGGGAGAAAACAACCACAUACCAAGGAUAAUUAUAAGAAGCAAUUACUAAGUGACUUCUGAUGUGCCAGGAAGUGUGCUGGGCUCCAGGGACACAAAACUGGAUAAGACAAGGCUUUAUACACAAGGAUUUCAAGUCUUUUUCCUCCAUAAGAAAUUAACUUUAGGGUGAAGAUGAUAAUGUAGAAGACAAAGAAGAGAGACUAAUAAAACAACAAACUUGUUUUGAUAUCUUUGAGUCAUUGAAUCAAACCAGUCCUGAAGACCACUCCAUCUAUAUUACUUUACAAUCAGUUGUGCUAGUCCCUUCAGUUUCUCAUCAAACCUCAUAUGAAUGGACAUUCAGAUCAAGUGGGUAUUUACCUGACUGCUACAAUCAAGAUUCUGCAAACCAGUGGCAAACAAGCACGUGGGAAUUCCAAAGCCAGGGAAGGAACCUGUACCACAGCAGCAACCCAAGCUACUGUAGUGACAACACUGGAUCCUUAACCCGCUUGCACCACAAGAAGAGAACUCCAAGGAUUGGUAUGAAAUGGAAGGAUAAGAUUCCUUUUAAGUUAGAGGAAAGAUGGAAAUAAUCUGAUAUGGACUAAGGACAAAGUUUAGAUACAUCCAAAUACACUGAAGUUAAGAUUAAGAAGAGGAAUUUAAAUUUCUUAAAAGGAUGAAAAAAUUAUAUCUACUUGGUAGUGAUUAUAAAAUUAUCCUCACAGCAAAAAUUUAAAGAAAUAUCUCAUGAGAGUAACCAUUAGUUACUGGUAAAAUGAAGAGCAUAAUCUAGUUUCUGGCAAAGGUAGCUUAAGCAGCUGGUAUUUUCAUGGGAAAAUACUCAUGUCUGGAUUACAACUGAGUUUGGAGAGACCUUUGAAAAUGUAAAGUGCUUUCAACCAGUCUUGGUAUAUUAUUUUGAUUAAAAAAUAGCCCCUUGGGUAAAAUGUAAAUAUAUUUUUUAAAAAAGUCAUGUUAGUAUAUUUUCUAGCAAAUUCAAAUAAUUGCUCAGAAGUACACUCAUCAGUAUUAGAAAUUAUUAGUAAUAAUGGCAAUUAAAUAUUUAUGUGAACAAUGAGCAUAAUUAUUUCCCUUUAAAAUUUACUUUGUAAUCAAGCAAGCAUAUGCUCCACCUGAUAUUAAACUGUGCACUGGUGAGUGAACAUUUUUCAUUUAAUAUCCUUAUUCACAUUUUUCUUGAUGCUUAUUUGUAUAUUUCUAUUGAUGUAAUAGUUUGCAAGAAAAAGAGCUCAUGUCUCUGCCUGAAGGUGGAAUCUUAUGAAUAUGCAAAUAAUGUUUUGAUGUGAUGAAGUUUUUUUUUGGAAUGGAACUGUGCUAUCUUAAGUUAUAUUGAAUAUUAGCCAUAGCUUAGAAGGACACAAAGCACACGAAGACUUGAGUUUUUAAAGAAAAAUAUUGAGAACUAGUUGCUUUCUGGUUAUAAAAUGCUAUAUUGUUGAAUCUUAUCUUCUCAAUUUAGGUUAAUGCUUUGCUAUAAAAAAAAAAACCCUGCCAUUUAAUUUUUAUUGUGUAGAAGAGUGGUGAACCAGUAAUAUGAAAAGAUGUAUGGAUUGUCUACCCUGUGUUAAAGUGUACUUCUUAAAAUGCAAAUUCUGGAACACAUCUUUUAAUAGUUUUAAUUUAACCUGGUAUGAUGUGUCCAGAUGGUUUAAACAUGUUCCUUUGGUAAACUGUGCAGAAUAAACCAGUUUUUCUUAUCAUCUUACACUUUAAAAAUAUUAUACUGGUGUUUAAUUUGAACCCUAGACAAAAAUCAUGCACAUAAACCCCCUGAAGUAUUAGGUUAGGGACAUGGAAAGACAACAGCCUUGGCCUCUGAAACUUUUAAUCAGUAUCUAGACAGGCCGUGUGUGUGUUUUCUAUUGAGGGUUAGAUUGGUCCUAAGUUCCAAACAUGAAACCAAUGACUCUCAAACUUUGGUCAGUAUCAGAAACACCUGGGGAUCUUGAUAAAGAUACAAAGGCCCAGGCCCUAGCUUAAUGAACCUAUACUACUGCAGUAUUUUUUGGCUUUCUGACAUUCUGAUGCACACCAAAGUUUAGGAACCACUACACUAGACAAAACCUUAAAUGAAAAUAUUAGGAUAAUGAAAGCAAAUCUAUGAUGUAAGUCAACCAGUUCUAAAAUAUUUGAAGUAUGAGUUCAAAUAGAAUAGUUAUAAUAGAAUAAUUUACAGUUAAAUAGAAUAAUAGUUGUAGUUAUAGUUAAAUAGAAUAAUAUUUUUAAAUAAAGAGAAGUGUAGGAUUUCUAAGUGUAGGACUUCUAUGAGGCAACAAUGAAGUUGUAUUUUUCUCAUUUUAAGAUUUUGGAAAUAGGAUUUCCAUCUGAGAUUAAAAUUAAUACAAAUUUACAAUUAAAGAAAGAGAUGAGGGCAUUAGAAGUAAUCCAAGAUACUAUAUCUAAAGGAGAGACAGAUUUGGAGCAUUUUGAAAACACCAA
rnacentral:lncRNA from 1 species